AACGAACGCUGGCGGCAGGCUUAACACAUGCAAGUCGAGCGCAUCCUUCGGGGUGAGCGGCAGACGGGUGAGUAACACGUGGGAACGUACCCUUUUCUACGGAAUAACGCAGGGAAACUUGUGCUAAUACCGUAUGUGCCCUUCGGGGGAAAGAUUUAUCGGAAAAGGAUCGGCCCGCGUUGGAUUAGCUAGUUGGUGGGGUAAAGGCCUACCAAGGCGACGAUCCAUAGCUGGUCUGAGAGGAUGAUCAGCCACAUUGGGACCGAGACACGGCCCAAACUCCUACGGGAGGCAGCAGUGGGGAAUAUUGGACAAUGGGCGCAAGCCUGAUCCAGCCAUGCCGCGUGAGUGAUGAAGGCCUUAGGAUUGUAAAAUUCUUUCACCGGGGACGAUAAUGACGGUACCCGGAGAAGAAGCCCCGGCUAACUUCGUGCCAGCAGCCGCCGUAAAAC
rnacentral:rRNA from 1 species